UACGAAGGGUGCAAACGUUGCUCGGAAUUAUUGGGCGUAAAGGGUCCGUAGGCGGCUCAGCAAGUCGGGUGUGAAAUCUCCAGGCUCAACCUGGAGGGGCCACUCGAUACUGCUGUGGCUUGAGUCCAGUAGGGGAGCAUGGAAUUCCCGGUGUAGCGGUGAAAUGCGCAGAUAUCGGGAGGAACACCAGUGGCGAAGGCGGUGCUCUGGGCUGGAACUGACGCUGAUGGACGAAAGCGUGGGUAGCAAACAGG
rnacentral:rRNA from 1 species